AAAACACAAGUGCAAAUGUGUUCUGUUUCCUAUCAACUAUCAAUCUAGCGUUUCCCGGGAAGUUUCCCACGAAAGAAAGUUAGGGAGGCUGUUUCACACACCUCACAGAUAGAACACAGGGAAGAGAAUAACCAUGCCUGAACCAGGACUCGAUUCUGGGACGCCCAGAGCACGGGGAAGGCGCGCUACCUCUAGGUCGUCGGCACAAUAGAAGGCUAAUCAAGAAGGGUUACAACAAUAAAAAUUUGCAAAAAGGAACAUCAUUGAAAUAAGAUUUGCUAAAAUAAAUGAAGUUGCCAAUUUUUAUAUUAAAUGGAAAAUAAUUAAAUUUUUUUUUAAAAAAGUAGAGUUUUUUUUAAAUAAUGCCUGCUAAUGAUAUCUUAAAGUAAUGAUUUUGCUCAUUAAUCCAAAAAUUUUGUUUGAGCAUAAUCAAUUAUCGAAUAAUAUUAGACAAUAAAUUUGAGAACAAAGCAGAAUUUGUUCUAUAGUACUUUGAGAAAAGUACAAAUAUAGGGUAAUAGAUUUUGGUUUGAUCUUUACAGAUCAUUUUUCAUAUAUAUAUAUAUAGUCUUGAAGAAUGUAGAACAGAAAAAGGACGAACAGCAGUUUUUUGAAUUCACGAACUUGCAUAAAAUAAAGUACCAGUAAGUGUCAAAAUUUCUCCAGAAAUUUCAAAAAAAUUAGACAAGCUAUCAAAUCACUUGUGAACAACUUCAAAUCUUUUUAUAGAAAUGAAAAAAAGUCAGGAAAACUGUCUGCAAUACAAGACGUUCUCAAAAUAUGCAACCAUAAAUAACUCAUCUGUUUCUGCAAGAAUUAAGAAUGUCGUUUAAUAUUCCAUUGUCUGAAAAACGAUACGGUGAAAACUGAAAGGUCGUGUCUAGGCAUCCAUAUUAUUCUUAACUUUGAAACUUACCACGUCACGUCUAUUAAUUUCUAGAACCUGUAAAGAAUUGAUUUUAACUCAGCAUGUACAAUUGAAAGAAGAUAUAUUCCAUACCUGACCAAAGCGAGUCUUUCUUGCAAGGUGUAUUCUGUAAGUACCCGUAAUAUUGGACAGUUUAAAAUGAAUUCUGAAAUUACAGUGAGGUAUGGAAGGGGCUGAGAAGCAUUUUGGUCUAUGGUGAAGUAAUAUGAAGUAAAUCUAAUGCAAAAUAUUCAUACGGAUAUAUAUCGUAUUUGGGACCUGUAUAUGCAUUUUUGUAAUACUAUAUA